GCGAAAACUUUACAAUGCGGGAAACCGUGAUAAGGGGACACCGAGUGCCGGCAUCAUAUGCUGGCUGUCCGGGUGUGUAAAAUACACCUGUUAGCAAGGGCCGGGCAAGACCGGUGCCAGCCGCCGCGGUAACACCGGAGGCCCGAGUGGUGAUCGUGAUUAUUGGGUCUAAAGGGUCCGUAGCCGGUUUGGUCAGUCCUCCGGGAAAUCUGACGGCUUAACCGUUAGGCUUUCGGAGGAUACUGCCAGGCUUGGAACCGGGAGAGGUAAGAGGUACUACAGGGGUAGGAGUGAAAUCUUGUAAUCCCUGUGGGACCACCUGUGGCGAAGGCGUCUUACCAGAACGGGUUCGACGGUGAGGGACGAAAGCUGGGGGCACGAACCGGAUUAGAUACCCGGGUAGUCCUAGCCGUAAACGAUGCGAGCUAGGUGUCACGUGGAUUGCGAAUCCAUGUGGUGCCGAAGGGAAACCGUGAAGCUCGCCGCCUGGGAAGUACGGCCGCAAGGCUGAAACU
rnacentral:rRNA from 1 species